AACGCGAAGAACCUUACCAGGUCUUGACAUCCUCUGACAAUCCCAGAGAUAGGACGUCCCCUUCGGGGGCAGAGUGACAGGUGGUGCAUGGUUGUCGUCAGCUCGUGUCGUGAGAUGUUGGGUUAAGUCCCGCAACGAGCGCAACCCUUGAUCUUAGUUGCCAGCAUUCAGUUGGGCACUCUAAGGUGACUGCCGGUGACAAACCGGAGGAAGGUGGGGAUGACGUCAAAUCAUCAUGCCCCUUAUGACCUGGGCUACACACGUGCUACAAUGGACAGAACAAAGGGCAGCGAAACCGCGAGGUUAAGCCAAUCCCACAAAUCUGUUCUCAGUUCGGAUCGCAGUCUGCAACUCGACUGCGUGAAGCUGGAAUCGCUAGUAAUCGCGGAUCAGCAUGCCGCGGUGAAUACGUUCCCGGGCCUUGUACACACCG
rnacentral:rRNA from 1 species